ACAAGAAAAUGCCAUGUGUUAAUUUUAGGACAAAAAUUAGGUAAUUAGGUAAUGAUUAGUUAAUCUUUUGAAUUGAAUUCAAAUCUACUGAUUUACAAUUUAAAAAAAAUAUAUAAAAUUAGAUUAAAAGGGACGUGCUCCAAAAUAUUAGAGCCAAGCAUACCCACAAUCAUCCUAUGUGGGCUGAGCACGUUCUACGUUGCUAAUGUUCUCUUUUCUUUCUUUUUUUUUUUUUUUUUUUUUUUUUUUUGUCAAAUACAUGUUGUUGUGGUGUGUUUACUUUCUUAUUGGUUACUUGAAAAAAAAAUUAUAGAAUGUUUUUUCCUUUCUUUUCAAGUCACGUCAGAUAUUUUCCUCAAUUUUGUAUAUUUUUUAAUGUAAUUUAAAAAAAAUGAAUUUAAGUAUUAACUAAAUUCUCAAUCGUGUCCUAAAUUUAAGCUCCAUUUACUUCUUUUUUUAUUGAAUCUAUAUAUAUAUAUUAUUAAAAAGAGGAUAGUUUUAGGACAAAAAAUAAUUAAUUAGUUAUUGUUUUGAAUUUAAAAAUAAUUAAAUAUUAAUAUUUAAUUUCAAAACCUGAAUCUAUGUGAUUGUGUGUGUCGUGUGAGAGGUAGUGGAAAGCGGGUGUGUGCAUAUGUAAAUGUGUGUGUCGUGUGAGGGACUGAAAACAUGGGUGGGUGGCUAUUUGCAUAUGUAACUGCUUUUAAAAGUUGAAUAGAAUCAUUACUUGCAAAUCUUAUCUGCAAGUCAACAUUACUUGAAUUAGAGUUGGUUACAACUUCUCAUCCAAAACUGAACAGUCAAGUAUAAUUUUACUACCUUCAUCUUUAGGCAUAAUUCUAUCUAGAAACAGUGGCAGUUUUCUUUUUUCUGAAACUCCCAUGAAUCUUUCUCCACACUAUAUUCACAUGAAAUGUAUAGUCCAGUCACAUGUUCUAAAAUUCACAUCUUUUUUUAAAAGUAUAGCAAGAUUCCUAUUUUUCCAAUUAGGUUCACUAUACUCGACAACACUACUCAACAACCUUAAAACUGAUCAAACUUCUUUUAUGUUUCACUUUUACAUGAUUAGAAAAAACAAAAAAACCACACGUUCUCAUGUUGGUGUCUCGGAGAGAUUUCAGGAGAUUGCAUUGAAUGCACAAUCCUGAAUUUCUUUAUGGAGCUUGGUUUGAGUUUGAUACUGUAAUAGAUUUUGUUUCAGUCCUGUAAUAUUGUAUUUCUAUUUGUUUACGGAUAGUUGGUUAAUUGUGAACGUGAACACGGAUUCAAGCGUAGUUGACUGAUUUUGGUGAUGUUCGGAACAAUGACAGCUGGGCAAUUUUGAUGAAAAGGAGAAGAAACUGGUAUAAUGACAGCUCAUCAGAUUGAUUCAUUUACAAAGGCCACAACGAUGGAGGGCCAAGAGACCACCUUAAUUACAGAUUAUGUUCUCCGUCUCUGUGUUCUAUUACUUUUUGGUGUCAAUUUCCUUGCUUGCGGAAAAAAGAAGCACAUCAAUAUUGGUAUAUAUCUCUGAUUCUUGGUGUUUGAGGUUGAUUAUUAUUAUGCACAGUAAGCUCGAUAUAUAGGAAACUUAAAAAAAAAAUUAUUUGACUGACUAGAGAGCAAGUGAGUAGAAGAAAAGAGCAAAAAAGGUGUCCAGAAGAAGGAGAAAAAUAAGAAGAGGACAAGUUACUUGAAGAAGAAGAGAGUCAUCGUGAAUGAAAAAGAAAAAAUGAGAAGAGAAAUGGUCUUUACAUGAAUUGUAAGUGUACGUUUCUUUAACAUAUCUAUCUCCUGACAUAAAUAAGUUUGUCAAGUUCAAACAGGAUAACCUAUAAUUGUGUAUAGUUACACAAAUGUAGCAUACAAUAUUACCAAGGAACAGUAUAUAGUUUAUUAGCGUAUAAGUUGAAAUAGACACUGAAUAUAUACUUUAUGAGUUUGCAUACCUAAUAAUACAGUUGCUAGCUUAAUAGAGUUCAUUUACACUUGAAUGCCUUUCGGUUAUGACAUGGCCUAAGAAUUUUCUGCUUCUAUCUUUGGAGCAGAAAAAGAAUUCGAUCUAUCACAUCUUUAUACUUGUGAAGUUUUUGCGGUAACUGGAGCAAAAAUAGGCUCCAAAUUGAGGAUAUGGUCAAUCUAUGGUGGCCAUGGCCAAGUCAUGAGGACUAAACAACCACAUUUGGCAUGUUUUCUCAGGUAAUAGUGAAUCUAUUCUUUGGGCGGUUUCAAUAGUUUAGAUCACAUAUUCUGUUCUUUCCAUUAGUUUGUUCAGAUUUCAUUCGUUUACUUUCUUUUGCACUUUCAAUAGAUGAAUGAACAAGCCGUAUUUGUCCAGAGAUAGGUUACUGGAUCCAUAUACUCUAGAGCAUCCUUAUUUAAUAUUACAAACGGAGCCUGGUUUUUACCUUAUCAAAUGAAAAGAAGUUUGAGCCUGUUUUCAAGAGUAUUGAGUCACUUCUAAGAAAACUAAUAUGUCUGCUAUUAUAUGUUAAGAUACUCAGCUGCUAGCUGGAUAUUACUUCUUUACUGCAGCUGGUGUUUUAAGUUGUUCUGCUACCCAUGUGACAAUCAUCAUUUCUGUCAAUUUUUUUGCAUUAUACUCGGCCUUAACAAUGUAUUGUACUGUAAUCCCAAACGUAUUCAUUCUAUAUAAAUCUGGUAUUUAAGAGUUUUGUGUUGGCGCUUCAUGAACAUGUAAUAACUAUUUCAAUGAAUUUUUCUGCACGAAAUUCAUAUUACAUGAAAAGAAGGGAAUAAAUGGCAGCUGAUAGACUAAACUCCCUUUACACGGAGUUACAAAAUUAGCGCUUCGGCUCUAUUAUACACACGAUGGAACUGACAAUUGCUGUGAAUGAGGAUCUAAGUAAGCUGCCUCACUACUUGAGAAGAAAUUAAGUUAGUAAUAUUUGUUGCAUGGUGAAAGGAUUCCAUAUGGUUGGUUUACAAAAUCAGAACUCAUGUAACUAUGACAAACCUACAGAGAUCAAACUGCAUAGUUUCCUGUUUAGUUUAUAUUCCUUUCUAAGUUUCCAUCAAGCAUUCACCUAUUAGCAAAAGUGAAUCAAACUUGCACAAUUCCUCAGUUCUAAACUUUGUUAUUCAUUUAUGUGUAAAUUGUUCCUUAGAGUCUAUAGUUGCUUUACUGCGUUCAAGUCCAUCAAGGUACUGCAAACAAACUAGCUGCCACAUCAAAGAAACAUUCUCCAUGGAUAUCGUACAAAUGAAUUGAGUUAAAUUUACAGGAAGAUAUUUAAGCAAACAUGUUCAUGUACCCUUUAAUUAUUUAAGUUCUUGAGUUGUUUUUGUAUCCCAUAGAAUAAUAAAAUCAUUGUUGGAUCUGAUUUAGGCCUCAUUUUCAUGGUUUCCUGUGGACUUUAGUACCUCUUUC